AGAAAUAUGUCUGAUAAAAGAGUUACUGUGAUAGAGUAAAAAAUAGAGGUUCAAACCCUCUUAUUUCUA
rnacentral:tRNA from 1 species